rnacentral:rRNA from 1 species
AGUAGCGGCGAGUGAAGCGGGAAGAGCUCAAAUUUGUAAUCUGGCUGUYUYACAGUCCGAGUUGUAAUCUCAAGAAGUGUUAUCCGCGCUGGACCGUGCAUGAGUCUGUUGGAAUAUAGCGUCAUAGAGGGUGAGAAUCCCGUUCAUGGUGCGGACUCCCAGCGCUUUGUGUUACACUUUCUAAGAGUCGAGUUGUUUGGGAAUGCAGCUCAAAUUGGGUGGUAAAUUCCAUCUAAAGCUAAAUAUUGGCGGGAGACCGAUAGCGAACAAGUACCGUGAGGGAAAGAUGAAAAGCACUUUGGAAAGAGAGUCAAACAGUACGUGAAAUUGUUGAAAGGGAAACGAUUGAAGUCAGACAUGCUUGCGGGGUUCAGCCUUCGGGUGUACUCUUCCGCAUUGCAGGCUAGCAUCAGUUUUGGGGGCCGGAUAAGGGUUUGGGGAAGGUGGCAUCUUCGGGUGUGUUAUAGCCCCAUUCUGGAUACGGUCUCUGGGACUGAGGAUCGCAGCGCG